rnacentral:lncRNA from 1 species
UGUGAUCCAAGAAAACAGUGAUGAGUUCUGUGCCUUGUUCUUCAUUCCCGGACCCAAGCUGACUUAUCAGUCUCACAGCAGUGGGGAAAGAGCUAUGGAAGAACCAGGAACAGGAACCAUACAACGUGUCUUACAUCUUCUGUCCUAUAUCACUUAUGCUCGCAUCUCGUUGGGCAAGAAAAGUUGUGGGGUCAAAUAUGAUGUCCAGGGAUAAGAAUAGUAGAGACAGCCAGCUAAAAUUGAGAGCAAAUAAGAUAACCUAUCCUACUCCCACAUUUUUAAGCAGUGAGCUUGAGACAGAAUCACUACCUUAGGGAACCUACACUUUAGUAUGAAAAUGUGGAGGUGUGCCAGGACCUGCUUUGGCAAAAAAACAAUGAAUAACCUGGUAAGACGAGAGAAUGUAAGGGAAGAUUACACUGGAAAGAACAUAUGUGGUCAGAUCAGAAAGACCUUAAAUACCCUUUCUAAAGAUUAGACUUAGUUUUAGAAUCAAUGGGCAGUAACUAAGUUGUCUGAAGUAGAGGUGUAGUGGUUAGUUCUUUGUGUCAAAUUGAUAGUCUAUGUAGUACAUAAUUACUUCAUUAAACACUGAUUUAGGUGUUACUGUGAAGCUAUUUUUCAGAUGGGGCUAAUAUCUACAGUCAGUUGACUUUAAGUAAAGAAUGUAGGUGGGCCUCACCCAAUCAGUUAAAGGCUUAAGAGCAAAAACAUAUUUCCUGGAGGAGAAGAAAUUCUGUCUCAAGAUGGCAGUGUAGAAAUCCCACCUGAGUUUCCAGCCUGCUGGCCUGCCCUGACUCACAGCAGGGGUGCCUUGUUUACCCAGCCUGCAGUUUUCAACUCCUCAUGGGAGGGAGCAUGCAAGUGAACAAAGCGGGAACUGGAAUGCAUGAAUGCUGGAAUCAGCUGUCCACUUCAGCCCCAGCAGAAAUGAACUCCACUCACUUGGACUCACUGCACUCCACCCGUCAUGGGAGGGAGUGCACAGUCUUGUGGUGAUCACUUAGCUGCUGACAUGGUGGGAUGGAGGAUUCCAGAAUGCGUCAUGACUCACUGCCAUUGUGUUUACAGACUUACAGCAUACCAUGAAGACUCUACAUUAAAGCCACUUCUUAAAGCAAAUGCCAUGUCCUACAGUGCCAUCUGCAGAGAAGCAGUUUGCACUUGACAGAAAUCAAGGUCUUCUAAGACAGGUAAAUGGAUGCCAAGACAACAGAGAAACAGGAAUCUUUUUGUGUAGUUAUAUAUUAAUUUGUUUGCAAUAUUGGCUUGCAAAUAGAAGGCCAGAGAGAGAUCCAGCACCACAGGGAUUCAAAUCUCCGUUGACAAGUGUUUAUAAAUGACUCGCAACCAGAACAUAUAUGUGGAAUCAGCACACAAAACUGGCAAGAGCACUGGUUCCGCUGCAGAAAUUACACACAAGAGGAGCUCUUUCUGUGUGCUUUCAUGCAUCAGUCUAGAGCCAGUUCUUCCUCAUUCACAUUGAAACGUCAGGUUCGGCCUGAAUAAUGUUUCCAUGCGGGCCUAAAAACUUCUGCAAAAAUUCGAUGGAAGUAAAAAUCACACAAGACCUCAUCACACUCCUCCAUGUGAUCUCAAUAUUUUUAAAGAAAAUAUUUAUAUACGUUUUAUUUAUAAACCACUAUUCUAAGACUUAUAAGUCUAUAAAGCUUCCAUUUGGGCAAAAAUGUAAUCUCCCAAGAUAUAGCAGCUCUCUAAGCUAAAAAUAAGAGAGAAUAUUUUUGAAGAGACAAGAGUCUCAGGUUCCUUGUGAGGGAACUCAAAAUAUUUCACCCCAAAAUAUGGCAAUCUGAGUGUUUUAAGUUAAAACCUCAUAGAGAUCAAUAAGCACUGGAGGAGAGUUUUCCCCUAUCAACAGAAAGACAGGACUGACUCACCCAGGAGAACAAUUGUUCUUGUUCCCCUCCCUGGUAUCUCAUUAUUCACUACAGGAAAGAAGACCAAAAAUGUAAGCAUACUUGAACAUACAUUUUUCAAGAUAAUGAGUGUCUCAAAUGAUUAUUUAAAUUCCAAAGAGAACUAUUUACAAGUUAAUUUCUGUUCCAGUUAUUUUCCUUAGUAAUCAUUUAUUGCACAUCAAUAGAAUUCCUCUUCCCACCCUCCCAUAGCCUGUUCUGCCAGGAUCCAAGCCUUCAUUCUUUCUGUAACCUCAAGAUGGUAUGUCAACCUUUGUACCUCAUUGGGAAGCUGGGUCUUCAUUUUGAAGGCUUCCAAAUAUACACAUUAAAUAAAUUUGUAUGUCUUUUCUCCUAUUAGUCAAUCUUCUUCUUGUCAGUGAUUUUCAGUGAACCUUUAAGGGGUCAAGUUUUGGCCCCCACACCUGCCUUCAGUAGCACGUUUGUUUGAAGGUGGAUCAAC